rnacentral:rRNA from 1 species
GAUUUAAUGCUUGCAUUAAAGAUUCUAGUGGCGAACGGGUGAGUAUAAUGUGGGAAUCUGCCUUUUGGUUCGGAAUAACACGGGGAAACUUGUGCUAAUACCGUAUAAGCCCUUACGGGGAAAGUUUUAACGCCGAAAGAUGAGCCUGCACUUGAUUAGCUAGUUGGUAAGGUAAAGGCUUACCAAGGCAACGAUCAAUAGCUGUUCUUAGAGGAAGACC